rnacentral:rRNA from 1 species
UGAGGAAUGCAUCGGAAUCUACUCUUUCUGGGGGAUAACGUAGGGAAACUUACGCUAAUACCGCAUACGACCUACGGGUGAAAGCAGGGGACCUUCUAGGCCUUGCGCGAUUGAAUGAGCCGAUGUCCGAUUAGCUAGUUGGCGGGGUAAUGGCCCACCAAGGCGACGAUCGGUAGCUGGUCUGAGAGGAUGAUCAGCCACACUGGAACUGAGACACGGUCCAG